UCAGACGAUGCGUCAUGCAUAUCAAUAAGCGGAGGAAAAGAAACUAACAAGGAUUCCCUUAGUAACGGCGAGUGAAGCGGGAAGAGCUCAAAUUUGAAAUCUUAAAGGGUUUCCCUUGACGAGUUGUAGUUUAAAGAAGUGUUUUCUGUUGGAGUUUUGGUAAAGGUUCUUUGGAAUAGGACAUCAUAGAGGGUGAGAAUCCCGUAUUUGACCAUUAUUUCCUAGCUUUGUGAUACACUUUCAAAGAGUCGGAUUGUUUGGGAAUGCAGUCCAAAAUGGGUGGUAAAUUUCAUCUAAAGCUAAAUAUUGGCGAGAGACCGACAGCGAACAAGUACCGUGAGGGAAAGAUGAAAAGAACUUUGAAAAGAGAGUUAAACAGUACGUGAAAUUGUCAAAAGGGAAGCGUUUGACACCAGUGUUGUUUUUUCGAAAAUCAAUUAAAAGCUAGGAUUUUGAUUUAGUAGUAUUGACUUUAUCAGCUUUGCACUAUUUAUUUGUCUAUUAUUUAAUGCACUUUUCAGUUUAACAAGUCAACAUCAAUUUCUUUUGUUGUAAAAGGGUCAUUGGAAGGUGGCUUUCUUUUCGGAGAAAGUGUUUAUAGCCUUUGGCCUCUGCAAUCGGAGAGAUUGAGGUCUGCAGCGUAGAUCCUUCAGGGUUAGAUACAUUUGUGCUAAGUUAUAGCCUUUCAUAGACAACUUGUUGACUAUGAUCAGUCAUGUAGCUUACCCGCUUAUGCUAUUUUACCUACGCUUAGGAUGUUGAUCUACAGAGCGAGAGU
rnacentral:rRNA from 1 species